rnacentral:sRNA from 1 species
GGAUGUUGACGAAGAUCUUAUCUGCCCUAUUUGCAGUGGAGUCUUGGAGGAGCCAGUACAGACCAGCUUUUGAUGCAGCCAUGCACUCUGCAUUUUGAUGUGAAAGCUGCCACCUUCAAUAGGUCAUUUCUCUGCCAGCCUUGCCAGACCAGAGUCAGUUGUAUCAUCCUGGGGCAAGUAUGAGGAGAAGCUCACGAUUACCAGGCACCUCAUUGUGAACAUGCUUUCUGCAACGCCUGCAUCACCCAGUGGUUCUCUCAGCAACAGACAUGUCCAGUGGACCGUAGUGUUGUGACGGUCGCCCAUCUGCGCCCAGUACCUCGGAUCAUGCGGAACAUGUUGUCAAAGCUGCAGAUUGCCUGUGACAACGCCGUGUUUGGCUGUAGUGCCGUUGUCCGGCUUGACAACCUCAUGUCUCAUCUCAGCGACUGUGAGCACAACCCGAAGCGGCCUGUGACCUGUGAACAGGGCUGUGGGUGAGAUUUGUUCCCUUCUGCCCCACAUGGAUAAGGGCCAUCUCAUUUA